AACGCACCUUGCGCUCCUUGGUAUUCCGAGGAGCAUGCCUGUUUGAGUGUCAUUAAAUUCUCAACCCCUCUAGCUUUUGCGAGCUGUGAUGGGGCUUGGAUGUUGGGAGUUUGCGGGCCUUUCAAAGGUCGGCUCUCCUGAAAUGCAUUAGCGGAACCGUUUGCAGUCCCGUCACUAGUGUGAUAAUUAUCUACACUGUGAUGAUUGCUCUCUGACUAGUUCAGCUGCUAAUAGUCCACUUCUGGACAACACUUAAUGAACUUCUUGACCUCAAAUCAGGUAGGACUACCCGCUGAACUUAA
rnacentral:misc_RNA from 1 species